rnacentral:lncRNA from 13 species
AUACUUUAAGCAAGCAACCAAACCAAACAGACGCCCAGUACGCUUCCUUGUAGGACGCUCCGUUUUCCGCUCUUUGGUCGCAUGACUUGACCUGAGCGUAUCCCCUAGACUUGAUCUUCACACACAGCUUCAUAGGUUCAGACACGUUUUUUCUAGAGAAAUCAUACUUUCUAUCUGCGAUUGUGGAACUGCUAUUGCUCUAAGCCCUUGAAAAUAAUUUCCUCAUAUGAAAGCUUGGGUCAAAAUUUAGAAGUGAAACCCAGCCUUCCCUCCAUCUUCUACUCUUGGCCUACCCUGGGCCUACACUUUAUCAUCCUUGAACCGAAACAGUCGCCUGGCCUUAUAAUGUUUGAUCGGGGAAGUUGAAUUGGGGAAUUAACCUACAACCUGACAGGAUGCGGUCCGCCAGUCUCCAACAGAGUUUAAAACAUCCUGAAGAUGAAGAUAUGUGGUGCCUCUGACUCUGCAGCAGAAGAUUGGCAUUAGGCCUGGAGAAAGGGAUACAGAUAGAUUGGUGUGGGAGAAGAGCUCUGAUUUGCAUGACCAGGAUACAGCAUGAGUCCACUGGAGGUCUGAACAGUAGGGAACACAGAACAGAGAUGGGAGGAUCUGCAGAGGCCACCAGGACCAGCACCUGUUUUGGAGACAUGGAGUUACAACUGAGUUGAAGAGAUAAUCAUAACAGUAGCUUCUAAAUAUAAACCUGAUGCAUAUACAGCCAUUAUACCAAAGAGUAAAGGUACCUGUUUAAUUCCUUUCUAUGAAGCAUGGAAAAUUAUAUUUGCAUAUGCAAUAGG